AAAUUCCGAGCAUUUAAUCCGGUUUGAUGAGAUUAGGUAAAGGCCAAAGCCACCAACACGCAUUGACUCACACAUAAUUUCCUCAUCUAGUUUUUAGUUUUGGAAAUGAAAAUAUAACACUUAAAACAAACAUGGGAGGCACAGCACAAGAAGGAGGUUAAAAUUUGGAAGAUGGAGGCAAGAAAUGUGUGUUGUUUCUCAUGAUCCAAUAUCUCUCUAUCUCCACAGCUUUUCUUCCCGGUACUCUUCCUGCUAUUAUUUCCCACCUGGUAUUUUGCAAGAAAACAUUUUUUCUCUCUAAGAAUGGAAAUACAUAAGUAAAUAAUAAAAUGUUUGAUACAAGUGAUUAGCUUGGAUCCCAUUCUGCUUAUUAAGCUAAGAAGUCCCUAAGCGUAGCAAAAAGUUAAAAAAAAAAAACACCUAGACACUAAAACUUAGGUCUAGUAGUUCCUAAUUAAUGAAACUACGUACAAACUAUAACUAAUUAGAACAAGAACAUGAAGCAGCAAUUGAAAGAUCAAGUAGGCCUAAGAGAGAGCAAGGACACUUAGACCAGAAGGCGAUGGUGAUUCAAAAGGUCACUCUGAAACGACAAGAACGAUUUUCUUCAUCAUCAGGAGAUGGUUAUUUUUUUUUUUUUUUUGUUCAACAGAUCAUCAGGCGAUGGUAAGCGUAAGAAUAUAAGUACAUUCCUAUGUCACAUGUUUUGUGGUAAAGUCGUUACAUCUAAUUUUGGGAGAGAAAGAAAUUAAAAGAAGAUACGUACCUAUCGCCUACGAGUCUGUACAUUCUUAAGAUGAGAUCUUCCUCCUGUUGGCUCAUUUUGAUGAAAUCCCACUUUACGCUACACACUUCUGCAUUUAUCAAAAACAACACAAAACUUUUACUUUUUGCUCCAAUAUUUUUAUAUUCUCUUUUGCUAAUCGCUACGUAUGUAAUAAUCUCAUGUCCUUCUUGACCUCAUCUCUGCUCGUAAAUACUUAUUUCACAUUCACGUAAAUACAAUUAGGGCUAUAUAUAUAAUAAAAGGCUACGAAGUUUGUUAUUGGUGUGUUUAUUCACAAUCGCGUAACUACAUAUAUGUGAUAAUUAAGGCUACGAAGAGUCUGGUUAAUUAGGGAAAUAUAAUAUAUGAUAACAUGAACUUCAGCUAAACACGAUGACUAUUGACUAUGUCCAAAGGAAAUAAAAUAUGGUUACGAAGAAAGAGCAUGCAUAUGUAAUAAGCUAAUCAAACACAUUAUAUGAGAUGGACCUUCAGAGUUGUGACGCUGACGUCGAUACGUUGAAUCCAUCAAUGGAGGUGGAAGAGGAAAGUAUGAGAAACUGAAGAGAGAGCAGAGAAGAGAGGUGGCAAACUCUUUUAUUAUACUAUCUUGUAUCUAGAGAGAAAGAGAGAGUGGGCUUUGUUGGAGAGGUUUCUAAUCUAGAACGACAUACUAUUUAAUGUUAGCCCCACCCCCCACAAAAAGUUGUUAAAAUCAGACCGUAGCUUUAAAAUAGUACUUCCUUCGUUUUUAAUCGUAACUAGUUUUGCUUAAAAACACAAAUAUUUUAAAAAUUGUUAUUUAAAAGAAUAUAUCAUUUAACCAAUUAAUUCAACCAAUUAUUAAAAACCUAAUAUUAUUUCAUUGGUCACACAAUAUCCAAUAAAUGAAAAAGAUGCAUUGAAAUAUGUAAACUACUUAGACCAUCCGCAUUAGCGGUUUUUACCAGGUUCGUGGGCUCGAGUUCUUAGACCCGAAUGAUUAAAAGAAAAUCAAAAAUGGGUUUAAUUAGAUGAACCGGGCCUUACGAGUGAACCCGUAAGAGGCGAGUUCAAGCCAUGCGUCGAUCACUGACUGGCUUCUCCUUUCCUCGUUGACGACGACGAAAGUAGGGUUUCCGCGUAACUCGUUUCAUUUCUCUCCUCUCUGAAAAAACGAGGGUUUCUUUUCUCCGAGGCGAUAUUCCGUGCGACGGUGAUUUCCGGAGGUUUUCUCCAUCAAAUCGAUUCUGUUUUCUCUUUUCCACGCUCUUAGGUCAGUAUCGAGUAGAUUCACGGUGUGUUAGCGUCGAUUGUGUGUUCGAAAGAGAUUUACGAUUUGUGUGAUUUAAAAUCGAUUUUGGGAUUUUUUUUAGGGUUCUUAAUCGAUAUGGGAGUUCGAUUGAGGGUUCAUUUAAUCAUAUUCUAUCGUUAUUAUGUGCUAAUAAUUUUGAUUUGCGGCAGAGAUGGAUCCGGCAGAGGAGAGAAGACAUUCAAAGAGGCAAAACGAUUACAUCAACAUGUUAGGGUUCGUGGCCGAUUCACAGUACGAGAUUCCUAGAAGGUGUCCAUGUGGUGGAAGAAUCAUUGAUGAGGUUCGCCGGAAGGACGACUACGACACUCUUCCGGGGAAGCGGUUCUUCACCUGCAAGAACUACGAGGUAAGUUUGAAUUUACACGCUUUGAUUAUCGUUUAUGGGUUUAGGAAUCGAAAAUUCUCUGAUAUUUUUUUUAUGUUGUAACCAAGGCUGAUGGGUUCCAUUAUCGUCAGCCUUGGGUUUUAGGUGUGCAGGAGGAGAUCGAAAGGUUGACUAAGCGGGUGGAGGAGGCUGAACAAGUGAUGUUGGAGACGUCGAAUCUCAGUAAACAGAUUGAGACACUGGAGGUUAGUCAACUUUCUUUGCUCUUUCAUUCCAUCUACAUUAUAGUUUUGUAGUUUUUUUGCGUGACUAACACUUUUUCUUUGAUGUUUCCAUGUCCAGGAACAGGUUAAAACCCUCUCUGAGCAGGUAGAUUACCUCACCGUGCAGGUGGCUACGCUGGAGAAGGUCAGCUUCGAUUGAAAAGCAAAGGUAAGACUCAACAAAACUGUAGAGGUAGUUUGAAAAUGUAUGUUAGAAAUUCUUGAUUGCUAUAUGUGUGUUCGAAAAUGUUAAUGUUUUUUUAAAAGUAGAGGUAGUUCAACUUGUUUAAUACAAAGCUAACCGUAUCAGAAAACUUAACUAGAACUAGAACUUAAUGAAAGCUUAAGAUAACUACAACUACAACUACAAGCCAAGUAAACUACAACGAGAACUAGUACUGUAACUACAACUUUAAAAAAAACUAUAAUUAAUUCUCGGUUGGUUGUUGGUUGUUGUGAUCAAUUUUCGAUUGUACUUAGCUGUAGUUAAUAUUUUCCACUGAUUUGAUGUGUAUUCACUGCUCUCUGUGAACUACUUGUUCUGUUAAAAGCCUUUUCUAAUGAAUGUUUGGUAGGUAGACUUUGUUUAAUUGUUCUCUCCUAUCAAAGGAAAAACUAGUUUAUAAACAUAGCAAAUCCACAACUAAAAACACACUAACAUAUAAACACCAAACCAAACCUAAACGAAAAUGGAACCUUUCUCCUUUAACUCUCCCGGGUUUGUUAACUUAUUAGCUUCGCAGAGCAGUCCACCAAUAGACGUUGACUCUGCUGAGGUAGAUGGUAACUCGCUCGGGUUAGUUAAACCAUUGGAAAGGAGAAAGUGGGGACCCAAAGAAGACCUUGUGCUCAUCAGCGCUUGGUUGAACACGAGCAAGGAUCCCAUAGUCAGUAAUGAGCAGAAGGCAGGGGCGUUUUGGAAGAGAAUAGAGGAGUAUUUUAACUAAAGCCCUCAGCUCAUUGGCUCCGUUCCUAGAGAAUGGGGUCAAUGUAAGCAGAGGUGGGGAAGGGUGAAUGAGCAGGUGUGCAAGUUUGUGGGUUGCCAUGAAGCCGCUUUGAAGGAGCAAGCGAGUGGCCAAAAUGAGAAUGAUGUCAUGAAAGCUGCACAUGACAUCUUCUUAAAUGACUAUCAUGUCAAGUUCACACUUGAACAUUGCUGGAGGGAGCUGAGGUUUGAUCAGAAAUGGAAAUCACACUCGUUGUCGAAAGAUGGUGCAAAGGAGAAGAGGAAGGAAGCAGGUCUGGAGGUGGUGGCUGACGAUGAAGAGGUUAGGCCUCCUGGUGUUAAGGCUAGCAAAGCAGCCAAGCGCAGGAAGCACGGGAAUGAAGCAGCUUAUGAUCAAAUACAGAGCAUGCUAGCUAUGAAAAAUAACAUUUCGAAACAAAAGAUCCUUGAUCGUCUCCUUGCCAAAAAUGAAGACACACUUUCUGAUGAAGAACUAUCCCUUAAGCAUAAACUAAUAUCUGAAAUGCUUUGAUUUGGUGAGUGCCUUGUAUUUGAGUGAAUAUUUUAGUUCUACAAUCUGUUUAGGUUGAUUUGCUUAGGUUGAUUCGAUGAACUAUUGAGUAAAGCUGAGCUUGAUUCGAUGAACUUGUUGGUUGAAUUCUUGAGUUUGCUUAGGUUGAUUCCAUGAACUUGUUGGUUGAAUUUUUGAACUUGUUUAUGAUUCGAUGAAAUUGUUUAUGUUUAGCUGUAUUGAUUAUGUUUUCUUUUCUUUUGCAGGUCAGAGAGUGCAGGUCACGGGUUAGAGUUAACGUGUUGGAGGUCACUAGUUGUUGCAGGUGAAGCCUAGUUGUUUUUUUAUGUAUGUUUGUGGUCAGCUUAGUCACGGGAAAGUGUAGUCUUUUGUUUCUUUCUACACUAAUUUUGUAUCACGGAUGAUGUAUUAUGUAUUGUGUCAGUCACAACUUGAUGAACGGAUGUAAUAUGGUUUCAAACUCUCUAUAUAUUAUCGCAUUGUAUCGUUUCAAAAAUAGCACAUCUCUCACUUUUAAACAAUUGCACUUCUCUCACUUCUAAACAAUUGCAAGUUUGGUUUAGUUCUCAUCGUUCAUCUUCACAAAGUAACUCCAAGUUUGGUUUAGUUCUCACGAGUCGGGACAAGCUCUCAUCUUCAAGAACGAAGUCAGCUCUCAUCUUCAUCUUCACAUACGGACAAGCUCUCAUCUUCAAGAAUGAAGUCAGCUCUCAUCUUCAUCUUCACAUACGGAAACAAUAUCAAGCACACAACAAGGUAUAAAACAUGAAUCUUAGUAAUAGCUUGGGUAUAAAACAUGUUGCUUGAAAUAAUCAAACACACUCAGCUCUCAUAUUAUGUUAUGAAAGAAAAAAAAUAAUGGUUUUUGAAGAUAUAUAUUAUGGAUUAUGAAAAAGAUUCUAUGUAUUAUGAAAAAAUUCUAUGGAUUAUGAAAUUUUUUUUAUGGAUUAUGAAGGAUUUUGAAAAAAAUAUGAAAAACAAUUAUGGAAUAUUAAAAAAAAAAUUAUGGUUUUUGAAGACAUAUAUUAUGGAUUAUGAAAAAGAUUCUAUGGAUUAUGAAAAAAUAAAUUAUGGAUUUUUUAAAAAAAAACUAUAGAUUAUGAAAAAAUUCAAUGGAUUAUGGAAAAAAACAAAGGAUUUUGAAAAAAAAAUAAAAAAAAAACAAUUAUGGAAUAUUAAAAAAAAAAUAUGGUUUUUGAAGACAUAUAUUAUGGAUUAUGAAAAAGAUUCUAUGGAUUAUGAAAAAAUAAAUUAUGGAUUUUUAAAAUAAAAACUAUGGAUUAUGAAAAAAUUCUAUGGAUUAUGAAAAAAACAAAGGAUUUUGAAAAAAAAUAUUAAAAACAAUUAUGGAAUAUUAAAAAAAAAUUAUGGAGCUACAAACCCCCUACCUGCCUUUUGUAGGAAGGAAAAGAGAAAUAAAUUGCUUGACAAAUGUCUUCCUCAUUGUUGGGUCAAAAUCGGUCACGACCGAAUCAGUGUCUGAAUGUCCGUAAAAAUCGGUAUGAACGUUUUUACGAAAAAUAAAUCUUAGAAAAAGAUCUAUUUUUACGAAGAAUCUUGCAGAGAAAACACAUUCACGAAAAAUCGGAUAAAGACGCGAACAAGGUUGCCGCGUAGCAACCAGUGCAAAAGCUGGUCACUACGUAGCGUGCUCGGUCGCUGCGUAGCGUGCUCGGUCGCUGCGUAGCGUGCUCGGUCGCUGCGUAGCGUGCUCGGUCGCUGCGUAGCGUGCUCGGUCGCUGCGUAGCGUGCUCGGUCGCUGCGUAGCGUGCUCGGUCGCUGCGUAGCGUGCUCGGUCGCUGCGUAGCGUGCUCGGUCGCUGCGUAGCGUGCUCGGUCGCUGCGUAGCGUGCUCGGUCGCUGCGUAGCGUGCUCGGUCGCUCCGUAGCGUGCUCGGUCACUACGUAGCGACCGUGCUUUCUUAAAAUCAAUACGACACGAAUCCAUGCAUUCUCGUCUACUCUUUAAUGCUAUCUCCCGAAGACCGUAGCCAACCCAUUUCAUGUUUCUCGUCAUUUGAAGUCAUCAAUCGAACUUUACGAUAAAAACCGCAGAAAGUUCAUUUUUAUCGAAAGAAGCCGUAAUAAACGUUUCGAGUCAAACAACGGCCCAAAGAGACCUAGGACGUGACUCGAAACCCACUUACGAUUUCUUAACCAAAAGCCCAUAAACCGUAUGACGGUUUAUGCUUGGUUCGCAAGAAAAGAUAAAUGUCAAGUUUCUGCGGAUAAAUAUGAAGUAUUCGAAGAUAAUUAGAAAGAUCGGGAAAAACAGAAUAUCUCCAGUUUUAGGCUAUGACGGCUUAAGGGCAGAAGGGGAAAAGCGUAAACCGACCUAGGAGCGAGUAUAUAAGGAGUCCUAGGCGAGAGGCAUGAGGGAGAACUUUUAAGACAGAGAACUCUCGACACUUAGAAACUGGGAGACAUUAUUCUCGACAUGCUCUGUUUCCAUGACUGACACCCGAUUACCAGACGAACGCACACAAGCAGUUCGAUCUCUUGGUUCACACUUGAACUACGUUCGGCUUGAUCCUCGAAAGGGGUACGUAGGCAGCCUUUCAUAAGGUUCAGUCCGAAAUCAAUCAAAAACUUUUUCUGUAUUUUCUUCGUCUUUUGUUAUCGAACUGCGACUCAACUAGGUUUGAGCUUUUAGGCCGCUAAAACUAGGUAACUCGCUGACAGCCUUUGCGGCCAAAGCUUUUAUGAUCUCUUGUAAUGAUCGCAACGCUCUCACGCGGACUCGAAAUAAGAUCUACUGUUUUCUCUAAACUCGUUUGUUAUCAUUUCAUGAUUUCCGCAUAUAUUUGGUCACUUGCCGUUGGCUCUCGCAGAGAUCCGGGACCUCUGGGAAAUUAGGGUUUUCCUAGUUUCCUAAUUUAAACGUAAAUCGACAUUGCGAAUUUCGGUUUCCACACUCAUCAACUAAUGAAGUAGACGAAAUAGUCGACCAAGUAGUUGAAAAUUACAUCGACUCAAUGGUUGAUGGUGAAGCCAACAAGCUGACGAGACGAGCUUAUAUCGAAAGAGAUCGGGAACUAGGACACAAUCAACUAAGGAACGAUUAUUUCAAGGAAAAUCCUACAUACCCACCAGAAUUGUUUAGGCGGCGUUUUCGAAUGAACAAGCCAUUGUUCCUUCGCAUUGUCGAACGCCUAAGUAGUGAAGUUCCAUACUUUCAGCAAAGAAGAAAUGCUCACGGAAGGUACGGGCUAUCUGCACUUCAAAAGUGUACGGCAGCUAUACGUAUGCUGGCAUAUGGUCAAUCGGGAGAUACAUAUGACGAAUAUCUACGACUUGGUGAAAGUACAUCACGUUUAUGUUUGGAAAAUUUUACUAAUGGGAUAAUACUAUUGUUUGGAGAUGAGUAUCUACGAAGACCUACACCUGAGGAUCUUCAACGAUUACUCGAUGUUGGAGAGGUACGCGGGUUUCCAGGGAUGAUAGGCAGCAUCGAUUGUAUGCAUUGGGAGUGGAAAAACUGCCCAACGGCUUGGAAAGGUCAGUACACACGUGGUUCAGGAAAGUCGACAAUUGUCUUAGAAGCUGUGGCAUCACAAGAUCUUUGGAUAUGGCACGCAUUUAUCGGAUUACCAGGUACCCUCAAAGAUAUCAAUGUUCUUGAUCGGUCACCAGUUUUUGAUGACAUUUUACAAGGUCGAGCACCUAAAGUUAAGUUCAAGGUCAACAACCACACUUAUCGUAUGGCCUACUAUCUUACUGACGGAAUUUAUCCCAAUUGGUCAACAUUUAUCCAAUCCAUCCCACUUCCUCAAGGUCCUAAAGCAGAGCUAUUUGCUGAACGUCAAGAAUCCACCAGAAAAGAUGUCGAAUGGGCUUUUGGAGUAUUGCAAUCGAGGUUUGCAAUUGUUAUAAACCCAGCUCUACUAUGGGACAAGGAAAGGAUAGGAAAGAUAAUGAGAACUUGUGUCAUAUUGCACAAUAUGAUAGUAGAGAACGAACGACAUGGAUACACUCAAAUUGAUACAUCUGAGUUCGAGUCAGGAGAGUCAAGCAGAAGUUCCAAGGUGAAAAGGAGAACAAGUAUUCAUGUCGGUAAUAUGUUAGGCAUUCGCAAUGAAGUUCGAGAUUCAGAGAAACAUGAUCGUUUGAAAGCUGAUUUAAUGGGAAAUGUAUGGCAAAAGUUUGGUAAUGUAGAUGAAUAAUCUUUCUAUGUUCAUGAAUUCUCGAUGUAUUGGAUAAAAGUUUUUUAAAAAAAAAUUUGUUUAGUGUAAUUUAUUCUUAAUGUAUUGAAUAAAAACUUUUAAAAUAUUUUAAAAAAUCAUUAUAUUUUAUUCAUGUGCUGUUAAUUUAUUAAAAAGUUAAAAAAAAAAUAUAAUAUUAUUUUAUUCCUAUGAACCCCUUCUUCAGGUUCACUAAUGCAGGAGCACAAUAGAUAGAGGUUUAUCACUAUUCAUGAUCCCACCAAAAAAAUAUUAAAAAAUCCCUAUGAACCCCAAGAGGGGGUUCACUAAUGCAGAUGCUCUUAUAUUGUGAAACAAACUUUUUUUGCUAAAACUACUUACAUUUAGAAACAGAGGGACUAUUCUUUUUAUUAAAUUUAGAAAAACCACUAUGUUUCUUGAAUUUAUUUCUUGAAUUUAUUUCUUGUUGGUUAUACGUGCGGUCCAACUUGCUUUUGUCUUAUUGGUAAAGAAGCUUGGGGACCUCAAAUCCAGGUUAUUAAUGGUGUUAUUUGUACAUAUGUCUCGUGAAACUUUUCGACAAUUAAAGUUACUUAUGCAAUUGGAGUAUUUGAUGCGGACCAUAAGGCUACGGCAGUAUGGUUCGCGGUUGGUAGUGUAUUCAUUUUUUUCUUCUUUUUGGACAAUGACUUGAGAGUGUGUUCAAUCAGGUUAAUGUGAAUCAAAUAUUGCAGCAAACGUUGAAAAUAUGAGUGUGAACACUCACGAACUUUCUGAAUGGUAAAACAAAUAUGGGAAACUCAGUAAAAUUAGAUUAAUAGUCAAGCAAAAACCUAAGAUUGGUUCAUUUUCUGUUUAAUAAAAAAUCAUUUGUUUACAAACUAGAAAAGCUAAUGUAACCAAGAUGGAUUUGCUCAAAUAUGUAUGAAAGAAGAAUAAGGAUAUGCUAGCAUUAUGAGAGCUGUUUAAAUAUGUAUGAAAAAAAUAAGUGACAAAAUGUUAAACACAUAAAAAUUAUAAUUUAAUACUAUUUCAUGUUUUGUUGAUACACGUUUUCUACGAAAGUAAAUUAUUUUGUGAUCAUUUGGCUUUUAUACCAAAUACUGAAGUUCACUUGGUGAAAAAAAAAAUCAAAUCUAUGGGGAGAAACAAUGUGUAAGUACAGAGAAAAUAGACAGUAGAUCCUAGUUUGAAUUAUGUUUUUGGGCAAAUGACUUGACUAUGUUGAAAGAGGAGUUUAAUUAGUCUCCAAACGUUUCAACGGAGAGUAAAGUAAGUGUGAUUAAAAGAGAACAGAGUAGCUUGAGAAGACAGGAGUCACAGGGUGAUGCGGCUAAAAUUUAAAAUACUUGCGGUAAAUUAAUAAAUAUCCUUAAUUUAGUUGUGCUAAAUUAAGGAUAUUUAUUAAUUUAACACCUACCUCAGUAAAGAGAGAGCAGAUGGAGUCAGUACACAUGUAUUUAUAUUCUCGUACACUGAUUUAAUUUCUCUGCGUACGAAUAGUUUCAUAUCUGUUUAUAUGUUGCAACUUUUCUGUAAACUGUUUCACGGUUUCAGUAUUUAAGUUUUCUAUUGUUCACGUGUUCAAUACAAAAAAUGUUCGUUAACAUGACUAGAGGUAAAUGGUCUCUACAUGCACGCCAUCUUUCAAUACCGUAUACGACAUUACUUAUACUUUCGAGCUUUACGUAUGUCUACAUAAACUAUUAUGUAAAAUCGUACGUAAAAGUCUACAAUCUAUGUAUAAUUGUAUUAGUAUAUCCAACCAACCUUGAAGUCUUAGCAGUAUAUGUUAAAUCAAACAAGAUAACCCAACCGAUCUGGUGUUGAUUCAUUUUGUUUUUUUUUUUGGGACAAAUUAAAUGGAAACGGACCUCCACGGCUCUAUGCCUUUGUCUAAUCAGCCUUUCGGUUAGGGCUGAGCAUUUUAUCCGUUAAAUUUGAUUCGUUUUGUUAUUCGUUUCGAUUCGAUCCGAAAAAUCCGGAUAUCCGUAAGUCUCUGAAGUAAAUCAAAUAUAAAAAAUCAACAUCCGUUAAAAGCGAAGCAAAUCACAAAUACUAAAAAAAUUAGAGGCGGAUAUUUGAUCCGCUCCGGUUUAUAUACAGAUAGAUGUAUAUAUAUGACUAAGUAUAUAAUUUUAAAUGUAUAAUCUUAUACAAAAAUUAUUUUAACAUAUAAUUUUAUAUAUAUAAUUACUUAUAAAAUAAAUAAUUAAUAAAAAAUAAAAAUCUUUAACGAAAACUACAAAUAUUUGUUUUAUAAGAAAUUUUUAUUAAUUUUAAAAUUCAUAAAACACAUUGUUUUAUUAAUUUUUAGUUUAUCUUUUACAUUAUGUAAAGGUUAUUUUAAGAGAAAAACAAAUUUCUAUAAUGUUUUGUAGAUUUACUUGUAUUGUAUAAAGUAAAUAAAGUAUUCGUAAAUAUCUGUGAAUAUUCGCAAAUAUCUAUAAAUUUUUCGGAUAUACGGAAAACCGAAUAUUCCAUAUUUUUCUAAAUCAAAACAAAUCGGAAAAUCAGAUAUCCGAGAAGUAUGAAGUAAAUCACAAAUACUGAAAAAUAUGGUACUAUCCGAUCCAUGCGCACUCCUGCUUUCGGUAUAUCAGGUUAAGAAAUCACAAAAAGUUGUACUAAGCAUCAACAGUAGACAUAGUUGGCCAAAAAAUCUUGAGAUCUAAAGGUUAAGGGAGUUCAAGACUUUUACAGUAGUCUAUAUUCUAAGAGCAUCUGCAUCAAUGAACCUCGAAGGGGAUCAUAACUUUAAUUUUUUAUUAUUAUUUUUUUAAUUUUUUUCGUUUGAUUUUUUUUUUAAAAAAAAAUAAUAAUAAGCGGACCAAUCGCGGACCGCCACGUGGCGUGGGGCCCGCGUUACAGUGAAAAAAAAAUAAUAAUAAGCGGACCAAUCGCGGACCGCCACGUGGCGUGGGGCCCGCGUUACAGUGAAGAACCGAGGGGUGAGUUCAUAAAAAUAGAAAUAUUAUAAUAUAUUUUUUUUUGGGAAUGGUGUGAACCUGGACAUUGAACCUUCAAUGCAGAUGCUCUAAGCGACGUCCUAAAGGGGGACAUACAUGUCUCGGUCUACAUCGUAAAAUAGAUAGAAAAUAAAGUCAACUUGCAUGUAAACUUUUUGUUUGUUUUUUUGAAUUGCAGCUUGUUAAGCCAUUGACAUUGAUAAUAGAAUCUAUUGAGUUUUCACAACAUGUUUUAAUAUAUAAGCCCGCUGAUCAAUAAAAGAUGACAAGUAUAGAAUAAAUUUCUCAAAAAAUUAUCUAGUCUCAUUUUUUCUAUUAUUUUCUUUAUGAAAAAAAUUCUUUGAAAUACAUACCAAUGUUAAUGCCUUUAGAGAUCCAAAAAGUUACUAAAUUUCAUCAACAUGAUAAAAGACGUAAAGUGUACCGGACAAAGAAAACAAAAGACUGGAUCGAUGAAAAGUUGAAAACUAUGAAUUAUUGCCUACCUUCUCCUGACUUGAUCUCAAAAAUGACUAUUGAAAAAGUGCAAUUCUUAUGAUCUUUUAAUGUUGUUCUGUGAGUAUCAAUUCUGUUACUAUUGUUCAUAUGUCCUAAUUUUACCAUCCCCUGCAUUUUAAAUGAAAACCAUAGUUAAUAUAGGUGUUAUUCGGAUUUUCUCAUUGCAGCGACGUUAAAACUCCAUUCAAAGUUCUCCACAACUAGUGGUGAAUUAAAAGUCUUCGUUUGUCGAAAAUAAAGCAUGUGUUUUGUCUGGGCCUGGGCGUUCGGGUUCGGGUUCGGGCCGGUUCCUUUCUGGUCCGGGUUUUUUCGGGUCUUAAAUAUUUAGACCCAUUAGGUACUUAGAAAUUUUCGGUUCGGGUCCGGGUCAGUUUUUCUCGGGUCCGGAUCAGUUCGGGUCUAUAAUUAAAAUACUCAUAAAAUAGCCGUAAUUUUUCGGAUCCAUAUCGGGUCCGGAUCGGGUUCGGGUAUUUAGGAUCUGAAAAAUACAUGAUAUACCCAAUUCCAUCAACUUAAAUGAAACUAUUAAUAAUUAAAAAAAACAUUUUAAAACUCUAAAUUUUACAUUUUAAAGCUUUAUAUUACUUUAAAAAUGUUAAAAAAUAAUAACAAAUGUUGUUAAUAAAAGAUAUUUCAACUAAAUCAUAAAAUAAUAUAUAUAAAAUAGAACACAAAAACAUCAUAAUUUUAGAUAUACAUGUUUUUAAGUCGGAUACAAAUCGGUUCUUAUCGGGUCGGGUCUAUUCGGGUCGGUUCUUUUCGGGUCCGGGUCUAUUCGGGUUGGUUCCUUUUCGGUUCCGAUUCUUUCGGGUACAAAAAAUUUAGACCCAAAAAGUAUUUGUAAAUUUUCGGUCCGGUUCCGGGUAUCGGUUCUUUUCGGGUCCGGGUCUAUUCGGGUUGGUUCCUUUUCGGUUCCGGUUCUUUCGGGUACAAAAAAUUUAGACCCAAAAAGUAUUUGUAAAUUUUCGGUCCGGUUCCGGGUCGGGGAUUUUUGGAUCGGUUCCGGUUCGGAUCUUCGGGUCCAGGUUAAAAUGCCAUGGUCUAGUUCUUUGAGAUGUCAUGUCGUCGACUUUUUUCGACAUUUAUGCUUUUCUUUUAUUCGCGAUUAAUAAUAUCUAUACUAUAUUAAAAGGGAUAUAUGAGGAGUAGGGAGGGUGUCCACGUCAGACAAAAAAAUCAACCAAUCAGGUUGCAAUGUUUUGCCACGUAAGCUCUUUGUUGCCCGUGUUAUUCUUUGGCGUUUUCGUUUGGGCUUUGCGUUUUUCUCCUUUGAUCUGCUGUGUAUACGUUUGGGCCAUGGAGCCCAUCAGACUUUAGAGACAGAAAUCUGAUACCUCGCCGAGUAUGUAUGCUGAGAUCUCGCCCUUUCUCAUUUCUUCAAACCCUAACUCUUCGACAUCCCCUUUGCUCUUCCUCUUAUUUGUUCCGUUUCACGUCUGAUUCUCCAGUGCUGCCAUGAUCACGGAGUCAACUUCUUCGACAACGCCGAGGUUUACGCCAAUGGCCGAGCUGAGAAGAUCAUGGGUCUGGCGAUUCGCGAGCUGGACUGGCGGAGAUCCGACAUCGUGGUCUCCACCAAGAUCUUCUGGGGUGGUCCUGGUCCUAACGAUAAAGGUUUCUCGAGGAAACAUAUCAUCGAAGGAACCAAAGCUUCUCUCAAAAGACUCGAUAUGGACUAUGUAGAUGUCCUCUAUUGCCACAGGUCAUAAAGAUUUGAUUUUUUUAUAUUUUAUUUCUUGAAGAUCUAUUCUAGGGUUUUGAGUUUUAGAUUAUGAUUUAACUCUUAGGGUUCCUGAGAUUGAAAUAAAGAGUUCGAGCUUUAGGUCUUUUAGUGUCAAUGUCUUCCGUCGUUUCUACUAUGGAACCUCUCAGUGGUUCUGUAACGCCUCUCCAUUUUUAUUUGUCUCCAUUCAUUGAUUCCUUAUUCCAAUCAGGCUAAAGCCUCAUGUCAUUUAUGUGUAUUUCCUUGAGAGGCUUUCAGACCAUGUCAGGUGAUUCUAAGACGACAGGUCGGCUCUUCUUCUUGCGUUGGUUAAUCGCUGAGUUUUUUUAACUUCAUUUUCAGCUUCAACAGUUUCGUCAAAAGAAGGCUGACAAAAACACUGAUCAUAAAAAGGACCCCAAGGGCAGUACAAGCCAAGGAAAUCCUCCAAAAAAUCUGGUAAGAAGCAUGAGCCUAAACCUGACACUGGUGGUGUCAGUGACGAGGCAGAAGCUCCGUCUGAUGUGGCUGUAGGAGGAGCUUCAUCUCAUGUGAAUAUUGGUGAGGAGGUUGUUGAUCCUCCACCGACUUCUGUAAAUGCAGCAGCUAACAGUGAUGUUUCAGUUGACACGCUUCAGCCAGGAAACACCACAGCAACUUCUGAUAGUGGAGAUGAACCGAGAAAAGAAGUUGCGAAUUCCGAAAAUGAUAUCAGCGUAGCAUUGUCCACGGAAGAAGAGAAUGUGAAGAGUAUCGACAUUGGAGCGGCUGGCGCAGUAGAUUCUUUGACGUCUGACCUUGCAGAUACCGAGAAGGGAGUUACACAUGACGAUGCAGAGGAGUCCCUUCUGGCCGUACGAUCUGAGUUACAAAAGAGAUCUAAUGAACUUGAACAAUCAGAACAGAGGUUAUUAUCUACUAGAGAGAAGCUUAGCAUAGCUGUUGUCACGUGUUAGCUCUGUUUGUUCUCAUAUGCAUUUUAAGACUCAGAGACAGAGAGAGCAUUAUCUGUUGUGUUUUAGUUUUUGUUGUUUCCACUUUUUAAAAACAAGUAUAAUGUUUUUGAAACUUAAAAGUUGGCUUUUAUAGUUGUUGUCAAGAGGUCAGUAGUAAUGUAGUAUAUUGAAAAGCUCAUUUAAACGAUUGUUAACUGUGUUAAAAAAACAGUUGUUAAUUAUCAUAUAAGUUUUUAUUUUAUAAAAACAGAGGAAGUGAAGAUAUACUAAUUUAAAGAUUUGAUGAAAAGUAUAUAAUGCUGAUCAUGCACAUCAUAAUGUCAGCACCAUCCUAAGUCUAAUGUUUAGUCUACCUGUUGGCAAUUGUUUAGUUCCAAUUAUUUAGUUUCUUCUUAAAACAUACAUGCACGUACAUUUCUGAUUUUUUUGUUUGAAAAGACAUUUCUGAUUUUUUUUUACAUAGAUAUCCUAUACAACUUCGAUUUUCUUUUGGGGUAAGAUUCAUUUUUCACCGUCAUUUUAAAACUAAUUUUGGAUAUUCUAUUUUAUUUAGUUAAAUCAGAAAACAAUUUUUUUUAGAAUUGUCUAAAGAAAGUAAGAAAUAGAGAAAAACGUUCCUAGGCAAUUUUAUGAAUUUACUAUUUGAGAAAACAAAAGAAGUAAAUCCGGAUUUAUAAUUAUUAGUAGAUAGAUCAUCUCAAGAGUACAAGUGAAACGAAUAAAAUCAAAAAAUUAUUAAUAAUCUUAAUUGAAAAAAAAUAAUAAUUAGAGAAUUUUCGAAAGGAGAGUUAGUUAUUGGAAUUUGUCUUUCACCAUCCACCCGCGUUUAUUUUUGAGAACGCUUCUCAGCGUCUCUCUCCUCUCAUCCCAAAAAAGUCUAAAGGUAAGUGUUUUAUAUUUAACAUAUUGUUCAUACAAUUAUUUUUAAAUAUUCAGGUGCAUGAAAAUUGGAACUCGCUUCUUCACUAGCAACCAAAUUUUACUUUGACAGCUCAGUCAAAUACAUCAAACAUUUUAAAGAACGAAUACCAUAUUAACUACAGAAUUAGCUGAGGUACAAAGAAACUCCAACACAACCAAAGUUAUAGAGUGAAAAAAAGACUGCACCCUGUUUCUAUUCUUUUUCUUAUGUCCUACCAAGUAUUACAUUUUGUUUGACUCGACUGUAAUAAAAGAAACAAAAUAUUUUUCCAUCUGUCUUUUUCCUUUAAACUAAUUUAUUAUUUUCUAUUUUUUGACAAUUUUAUCUAUCCACCUAUGGAAAAAAUUAUAUAAAAUGUCAACAUCCAAAUCAAAACAUAAUUGGACUUAGCAAAUAAAUUCUUAAUAUUAGUAAAAGAAGCUAUCGAAUAAUAUAUUCAAACUCAUUUUCCGCGCGUAGCGCGGACAAAGACUCUAGUNNNNNNNNNNNNNNNNNNNNNNNNNNNNNNNNNNNNNNNNNNNNNNNNNNNNNNNNNNNNNNNNNNNNNNNNNNNNNNNNNNNNNNNNNNNNNNNNNNNNNNNNNNNNNNNNNNNNNNNNNNNNNNNNNNNNNNNNNNNNNNNNNNNNNNNNNNNNNNNNNNNNNNNNNNNNNNNNNNNNNNNNNNNNNNNNNNNNNNNNNNNNNNNNNNNNNNNNNNNNNNNNNNNNNNNNNNNNNNNNNNNNNNNNNNNNNNNNNNNNNNNNNNNNNNNNNNNNNNNNNNNNNNNACAGUCACUAGACAAUCUUACACGUGAUUGUGGAUACGGCUUUAGGUUAUAGCAACUUUUGUAACAACAUAAUAAGUUAAAACAGGCUCAGUCCUCCACCAAUGACCAACCCUUGUUUUCUCACAUUUUGAGCCGGAAUUUUGUUCAGCUAAAAUACUGGUUUAAUCCGGUUUUCUUGGUUCGAUCUUUCUUCGAAUUCGGUUUAAAUUUAAAUAGUGAGAGCAAAGCCACGAGCAUAACCUGUAGCUCUCAUGCUAUGUAUUUCAUAAUCUAGAUUUAAUUUUUGAAGAAAUAACAGUAAACCUUGCACAACAAUCAAACUAGUUGUGUUAACCUAAGACAAAAAUACUCUCAAAGCAACACUGAGUAUCAGUUGUUGAAUUGUUAAAUAAAUUUUAAAAAACGCACCGUUUUGAGUAACUGCGAAAAAGGCAAUUUUGAGUGCGAUCGGAGUUCUAGGUUUUUGCAAUGGAUUUGGCAUCUCUGCCGGAUUUAUCUGAUCCUCCAGAGAGAAAUUUGACGGUAACGGAGGCUCAUGAUGAGACGAGGGUGGCAGGCAUAGCAGGAAAGGGUACAGAGAAGGUUAAUCAAAGCUGGGUCUCGGCGGCGAAAGAUAGAGAAUGUUUGAAGAAAUAUGAGGUUGAGGUAUCGAUGAAAGAGGGUAAGCACACAGUGGAGAUCCCAGAUGAUGUUAUCUCUGAUUCAACACCACUGUGGGAGGAUUUUGUAGUUGGGAAAUUUUUGGAUCUGGCUCCUCAUGUAGCUAAAGUUCAUAUGGUUUUAAACAAGAUCUGGAAAUAUGGGGAUGAAUCUACAAAGGUGGAAGCAUACGAAGUGAAUGCUACUACGAUGAGAUUCAGAGUAUCAAGUUCAAAAGCGAAGGAAAAGAUUUUGAGAAGAGGGAUGUGAAAUAUUGCUGGAGUUCCAAUGGUGGUGGCAAACUGGUCCCCGAAAACGGAGGAAGAGAAACAGGAGGAAGAAGCAAUACCUAUGUGGGUUUAUGUGAGGAAAGUUCCUUUACAUAUGUUUUCAUGAGAGAGACUUAGUCUUAUAACUAGUCCCGUGGAGUUCCCAGUUCGGCUCCAUCCAGAAAUGGUAGCAUGCUCUAACUUCGAUGAAGCAAAAGUGUUUGUGAAUGUUGAUGUGUCAAAGGCGCUACCAAAGGAGAUAAACUUCACUAAGAAUGGGAAGGAGUUUACAGCUGAGUUUCAUUACCCUUGGUUGUCGUCGAGGUGCAAUGUUUGUGAUAAGUGGUGGCAUGUGGAGAGCGUAUGUGUGAUGAAGAGUAAAGAGAAGAAGAAAAAGGAAGUGAGUAUUGGGAAUUCUGAAGCUAAGCAGGAUGAAAUCUGUGAAGUUGAGUCAGAAAAGAAAGAGUUAGGUACUGGGAGGUCAGGGGAAAGGGUUGAGAAUAAUGAUACUGAAGAGCAUGAGAAUAUUGGGAAUGUAAUUGUUGGAGGGCAAGGUUCAAAAAGCUGGUCACUUGUAUCUCCAGCAAAAAUUGGAAGGUCAACUGCAAGUACUUCGAAAGUUUCUGAUGAGAUUCAGAUAUCAUCGUCAAAGUUCUCGGUCUUGUGUGAUGAAGCAGAGGAAGGGAAAAUUGUAGGAGAUGGACAACAUAGAGAUGAAGGAGAAACAGUUGAAGUAGAAGAAGUGGAUGAACAGGAAGAAGUCAGUGAGGAGGAUUUGUUGGAAGACAACAUUCUAGCUCAACAAGGCAAGGUGAAAGAGAAGGCUAUUCAGAAAAAGGGUUGAAGAGAGGUCGUAAGGCUAAAGCUCAGGAUUUAAAUCCGGUGAGCACAAGGUCUUCUCGACGUAAUCAUUAACAUGAAAAGCUUCUUUUGGAAUGCGCGCGGCUUCAACAAAUCUUUAAAGCAUUCCGUUAUAAAAGAGUGGAUCAGAAGUAAUGAAAUGGAGUUUGGAUGUAUUUUGGAAACAAGAGUAAAAGAAAGAAAAGCAGUUAGUAUUCUACAGUCGGUUUUCAGUGAUUGGUCCUCAAUGACAAACUAUGAGCAUAGUCUGGGGGGAGAAUUUGGCUAGUAUGGAAGGAUUCAGUGUGUAUGACUCCGGUCUACAAAUCUGAUCAAAUGAUAACUUGCUCGAUAGGUUUUCAGGAAGAGGAGAUUUUCUUUUGUACAUUUGUAUAUGCGAGUAACUCGGUGGAAGGUAGAAAGGAGUUGUGGAAGGAUCUCAUUCAUCAUAAAAAUUCUCAGUUAUUCAAAAAUAAGGAGUGGCUGAUCAUGGGUGACUUCAAUGAAAUAUUGGAUGGUGAAGAGAAUUCAGCAUUUUCGGAGUUAGGAAGACUUCCAAGUGGUAUGAGAGAUUUCCAGAGGAUGGUUCUUCAAUGUAAUCUGGUGGAUAUGGGCUACCAAGGUCCUUUGUUUACUUGGUGUAACAAGAGAGAAAAUGGAGUGAUAUGCAAGAAAUUGGAUAGAGUGUUAAUGAAUGUUGCAGUUCAGAUGAGAUUCCCUUAACGCGUUUGCAGUAUUUGAGCCAGGAGGCUGUUCUGAUCACUUGCGAUGCAAGGUUCAAUUGCUGCCGCCAAAUGAGAGAGUUCACAGGCCGUUCAAGUAUGUUAAUUCUCUAGGGAAACUCCCACAGUUUCUCUCUAUGGUGAAGGAGUUCUGGGAUUCAACGGAGGUGUUAUAUCAUUCAACGUCGGCAAUGUACAAAUUAUCUAAAAAACUGAAGAAUCUUAAGCCUCUCAUAAGAAAAAUGGGGAAGGAUCAUCUUGGUAAUCUAUCAAAAAGAGCAAAAGAGGCACAUGAUACACUAUGUGAAAAGCAAAAGCAUACUUUGACCAAUCCGAGCAGCAAUUCUAUUCAGGGGGAAGCACAAGCGUAUGAGAAAUGGUUACAUGUUGCAGAACUGGAAGAAGACUAUCUCAAGCAGAAAUCUAAGCUUUAUUGGUUGGAGGUUGGUGAUCAAAAUAAUAGAAACUUUCAUAGUUCGAUCAAAUCUAGACAAGCUCAAAAUGCAAUUCAUGAGAUCAGAUGCUCGGAUGGUAUAAUAAUGAAAAGUCAUAUGGAGAUUAAGAAGGAAGCUGAGAGAUUCUUCACUGAAUUUCUGAACCAAAGCCAUGUCAGUUACCAAGGGACUACUGUGGAGGAACUAAGGGAGCUUUUUGAGUUCAGAUGUGAUCCGGUGGACCGCAACAUGCUUGAGAAAGAUGUUACAGAGGAAGAAAUACGUAAGGUUCUCUUUGCUAUGCCCACCUAUAAAUCUCCAGGACCUGAUGGAUAUCCUUGUGAGUUUUUAAAUACCGCAUGGCAUAUAGUAGGGCGAGAUUUUGUAGUUGUUAUUCAGUCAGUAUUCCGAUAUGGCUUCCUUCCUAAAGGAGUAAAUUCUACAAUUCUUGCUCUUGUCCCGAAGAAAACCGACUCGAUGGAGAUGAAGGACUUCAGACCCAUAGCUUGCUGUAACGUGCUAUAUAAAGUGGUUUCUAAGAUUCUUGCCAAUAGAUUGAAAGAGAUUCUUCUGCGGAUCAUUACUCAAAACCAGUCAGCAUUUGUCAAAGGGAGGUUGCUAAUAGAGAAUGUUUUGCUGGCUUCGGAGUUAGUAAAGGACUAUCACAAGGAGGAUGUGUCUCCAAGAUGUCUGAUGAAGAUUGACAUCUCGAAGGCUUUUGAUUCUGUGCAGUGGGAGUUUGUUUUGAAGAGUUUAGAGGCAUUGGGGUUCCCAGGGAGGUUUAUUCACUGGGUAAGGCUAUGCAUCACAACUCCAUCAUUCUCGGUACAAGUAAAUGGAGAUUUGGCUGGAUAUUUCCAAAGCUCUAGAGGCCUGCGACAGGGAUGCUCGAUCUCUCCUUAUUUGUUCGUUCUAUGUAUGAAUGUUUUAUCGCAUAAGUUGGAUAAAGCAGUUCGGGAGAAGAAGUUUCAAUUUCACCCGAGGUGUAAAGCUCUGGCCUAACCCAUCUUUGUUUUGUAGACGACUUAAUGGUAUUUGUUGAAGGAUCAACGGAGUCUAUUGGAGGUGCUUUAUCAGUAUUUGAUGAGUUUGCUAUAUGGUCUGGAUUGAGUAUUAGUUUGGAGAAGUCAACAGUGUACUUGGCUGGAGUUUCAGAUAAUGAGAAGGGAAGAAUCAGAUUAAAGUUUCUGUUGGCAGAAGGUAAGCUUCCGGUUAAAUACUUGGGGCUUCCACGUAUGUCUCAGGAAAUGAAGAAGCACGAUUACUUGCCUCUAGUUGAGAGAAUUCGAAGUAAGAUAUGCACGUGGAAUAGAAGAUUUUUAUCUUAUGCUGGGAGGCUACAACUGAUCAAAGUAGUCUUGAUGAGUAUUGUUAAUUUCUGGGCAGCAGUGUUUAGACUUCCAAGCAAGUGUAUGGAAGAGAUUGAGCAACUCAGUUCAGCAUUUCUUUGGACGGGUCCAGUGUUAAAAUCAACAGGAGCUAAGGUAGCUUGGCAGGACAUAUGUAAAGAAAAAAAUGAAGGCGGUCUAGGGAUAAGGCCGCUAAAGGAGGUUAACAUGGUGUAUGGUUUGAAACUCAUAUGGAGGAUGCUAUCUGGUGACUCUCUUUGGGGUAAAUGGGUUAAGAUGUAUCUUCUCAAGAAGAAAACAUUUUGGGAAAUAAAAAUAAAUACUCAAGUGGGCUCAUGGAUGUGGCGGAAGAUGCUGAAACUAAGAGAAGUGGCUAAGAGUUUCUAUAUGAAAGCAGUUGUGAAUGGUCGUCACACGUCUUUCUGGUAUGACAGAUGGUCUGACAGGGGAGUGAUCAUGGAUCUGCUGGGAGACAGAGGGAUAGUUGAUAUGGGUAUUAGAAGAGAUGCUACAGUGGAAGAGGCAGUGCAGAGAAAUAAGAGAAGAGGCAGGUAUCGUUCUCCUAUUUUAAAUGAGAUUGAAGCUGAGCUUAAUACACUCAAAGAACAAAUAUGCAAUAGUGUUGAGGAUACUAGUCUAUGGCGGGAGUCAGGUUUUAAAUCGAAUUUCUCAACCUAUGAAACAUGGAGGUUGGUGAGAGAGACAAAGACUCAAUGUGAUUGGGCUAAGGGUAUUUGGUUUUCUCAGGCUACUCCCAAGUUCUCGUUUAUUACAUGGCUUGCAAUGUUGAAUAGAAUGUCAACGAUGGACAGAGUCUCAAGAUGGAACCAAGAGGUAGAUACUGUCUAUGUGCUAUGCAAGAAUGCUCCUGAGUCGAGAGAUCAUCUCUACUUUGAGUGUUCUUUUUCAAGUCAAGUAUGGGAACAUCUGGUGAAGGGGAUUUUGCGUAACGACUACACUACGGACUGGCAUGCAGUCGUGAGGUUGAUAAUGACCAGUCCGUAGAGAAGAAAAAGCUAUUCUGCAUCAGAUACGCUUUCCAGACAUCUGUAUAUUCACUAUGGAGGGAGAGGAACAAAAUAAAGCUUGAUGACAAACCGAUGCCACUGCCUGCCCUUAAAAAGAUUUUAGACCACAGCUUGCCCGUGAUGUUCCAUUCUCAGCAAUCUGCUGGGCAACUCUCGAGCCAGUAACUCUUUUGACAUUGUCUUAAAACAUUUUACAAUUAGAGAGAUGAUUGCAACGCAAUUUGUGCCAGAAUACUUCAAACGAGAAACUGAAAGUUUGAGCUACUCUCUUGUUUACAGAUGAGAAGGAGGCUUCUUGGGAUUGUGGGCAACGAUACAAACGCUCUUGGUAUUCUCGGUGCAAACUUCUCCGCUGGUUUUGUAGCUGGAAGUAUCGCUGCUGCUACUACUUGUCCUUUUGACGUUGCAAAGACAAGAAGACAGAUAGAGGUUUGUCUAUUUGAUUUGCAACCUCUUCCUCCAGAGAGCUUUGUCUAUUUGCUUAUGAUACCAUAUACUUAUAUCUCGCCAUUUUCAUAAUCUCAGAAGGACCCUAGUAGGGCAAUGAGAAUGACUACACGACAGACAUUAAUAGAGGUUUGGAGGUAUGUAUGAGAAAGAUCCCAUUUUUAAUUUGCUAAUAGCUCUGUGUUUGCAUAGAAACAAGACACAUAACAAUAUAUAUACUGCACGCAGGGAUGGAGGGAUGAGAGGACUGUUCACGGGAAUGGGACCAAGGGUGGCUCGUGCAGGACCAUCGGUUGGGAUAGUGGUUUCCUUCUACGAAGUGGUCAAGUAUGUUCUGCAUCGCCAAUACGCUUCAUCAUGACCCCAACAGUCACUAGACAAUCUUACACGUGAUUGUGGAUACGGCUUUAGGUUAUAGCAACUUUUGUAACAACAUAAUAAGUUAAAACAGGCUCAGUCCUCCACCAAUGACCAACCCUUGUUUUCUCACAUUUUGAGCCGGAAUUUUGUUCAGCUAAAAUACUGGUUUAAUCCGGUUUUCUUGGUUCGAUCUUUCUUCGAAUUCGGUUUAAAUUUAAAUAGUGAGAGCAAAGCCACGAGCAUAAGCUAUAGCUCUCAUGCUAUGUAUUUCAUAAUCUAGAUUUAAUUUUUGAAGAAAUAACAGUAAACCUUUCACAACAAUCAAACUAGUUGUGUUGACCUAAGACAAAAAUACUCUCCAAGCAACAGAGUAUCAGUUGUUGUUGUAGUCAUUUUUAAAAAUUCAAAAUAUAACAUAUACAGAAAAAUCUAGUUUUUUAUUAAACAAAUUUUUUAUAGAAGAUACACUAAUUUUUAUCAAAUCUUUAUCAUUCAAAAUCAUUAAUUGUCAUAUAUACUUUAUACACAUUAGGCAAUUCCGUAAUUUUUAUUUAAGAAAAUAAUAACGAACAUUAAUAAUGAAUUUAUGGUUAGUUUAAUAAAAAAAUAUUAUAUAAUUAAAUGGACUAACCUAUUUCUCUAAUGAUUUUAAGAAUCAUCUUAGUGGUGACACGUGAUUACAAAAAGAAGUUGUAAUGUUUCCAAAUUAAUAUAUAAGGGAUAACAUUUAUUUUUGAUCUCUUGUUUUUAUUUUUCAUUCAAUUUUAUCGAUGUUUCGACGUUCAUUUUCAUAGGAAAAUAGCUGAACAAGCAACUAGGAAAUUAUUCUUAGAAAAAAAAUCUUGAUAUUUCACUCGAUAUGGUUUCUUGAUACAGUAAAAAAUUUCUUGAUAUUUUACUCAAUAUGGUUUCUUGUUCAGUUUUCUGACCAACUUUUUCUUACUAAUUAAUUAUAGUUAGAUAAUGUGAUUAAAUGAAAUGAUAAUGAUAUCAGUGCAUCACUACUUCAAAUAUUUUCAUUUUUCGCUUUUGUUAAUACUUACAAGUUUAGCACAAUAGCACUACUCAUCAAAUGAUAUCUACAAAUCGCCCUCUUAUCACAAGUUUUACAAAAUGUGAUUAGUGGAGACAUGAGGUGACUAUGGAGAUGACUGGAAGAAACUGUAGAUAUCCAAUUUUAUUUCUAAAACCUUAUUUUGAAACAAUCAUGCUUUAGCUUUUAAAAUUGAAUCUAAAGAAACAUUAUAAAAAAAAAUAUUAGUUUUAGAAAUCAAUUUCUCUAGAAUUUUUAUUCAGUGCUUUAGAAAAAUCUACAGAAAUAAAAUUUCGAAGCCACAACUAAAACCUAAAAGAUACAUCUUAGAACAAAAACAUAGAGCCACAUCUUCAACCAAUCAAAUCCUAUAGCAGUAAAUAUGGUUACUAGAAUUAUGUAGUCUAUAGCCUAUGAUUCUCUAUAUAAUUCUAAUAGUAGUCAUUAAUCAAGAAUUAUUCUGAGAUGAGAAAUGAAAUCUCUAGUUGCUUGUUCAGCUAUUUUCAAAUUAGUUAAUAAUUUUUAGUUGGAUGGAUCAAUUCACAACAUUAUGAGUAGGUUUGGGUAUGGAGUAGAUAUCCGUAAAAUUCGCAGUAUCUGUGAAUGCAUCAUAGAUGAAUAUAUAUAUUGGUGAUUCGAUUUGAUCCGGAAAUUCUGGAUAUUCAAAUUUUUUUUAAACAUUCACGAAUUAUUCUAUUUGAUUUGUCAAUUAUAUUUUAAAAAUAAAAUAAAAAAUGAUAUAUAAUAUUAGAAUUAAAUAAAAGAAAAUUAAAAAUAAUAAUAUCAUACUAAGAGACUAACAUUUUUAAACAUAAAUUGUAAAGCAAAAUCCAAUAUUAACAAGCCUAAUAAGAAAACUUAUAUGUUAACAUUUGACUCAGUAUAAAAAUUAAAUUGGAUAUGCAACAACCCAAAAAACAAAAAUUUGAAAAAACAACUUAAAUUAAAAAAAAAUUAACCAAAUUUUAUCAAAAAAUAUGUAUACAUAUAAUAGUUUGUAAAUACAAUUACAUUGCAUAUCUAUAUAUAUACGGAUCGAGUCUGAUAUCCGGUUUUCCAAAAAAAAAAAUUUGUGAUUUGUUUUUUUUUUUACGGAUAUCACAUUUUGCUAUUUGCUUUGAUUCAAAUCUUUAUGGAUAUCCAGAAUUUUUGGAUCGAAUCGAAACUGAUCGGAUGAAAUUUAACGGAUAAUUUGUCCGGCCGGAGAACAACAUUAUACACUUUCACAUGAGUUAUAUAUAUAUUCCAGUACAUGAAACUAUGAAUAUGUUUAUUUGUAAAAAUAUUAAAAAGAAAAACAAAGAAAAUAGGUGGGAAAAGAGAUAAUACAUGGCUUGAGUCGGCAAACCAAAUGUAACCAGCGUAUUCGGUGGACUAUUUGACACGUGAGACGCCACUCUUCAUGCCUCUUCACCACAAAUAUAUAAAACUUUUCUGUAAUAGCCAGCCAUAGCAAAAGUGUUAUAUGUUGUGGAGCCCAAGUCAGUUCUCUAAUUGAGUGGCCUACCUUCGUUUGACUCAUCGUAACAAGAGCCUAAGACCGAUGAUUCGGUUUCGCCUACAUCCUCCACUAAACCCUUAUUCCUAACUUGCAACAUCUCCAAAACACACAAGUUUUUCCCGUAACACAUAAAAAGAUAGUUUCGAUUGAUUCGAGGUCGAUCUCAAUCGGUUCUUAAUAAAUCAGUAGGUUAACCAAUUGGAUUGGAGCUAGACGGAUCAGUAUGUCCGGUUCGAUUUAACGGUUAAGUAAUCUGUAGAACCUUCCAGAACGCGCGCGUUAAGCAUUAGGGUUUCGUUGGCUGCGUGGCUACCCACUGAAGUCUUCAGUGUUUCUCUCUCCUCCUCUCCAAGUAAUCUGGAAAAAAUCAAACCUUUUUUCUCUGGAAAAAAAUAAAAAAUAAAUAUUUCUUAUUCAAAACCAAAGAUUCGAUCGAGGUUUUGAUUGAUCGAGAAAUUCUUGGGCUUUUCCGGUGGAUUGAGAAGAAGCUAAAUGGUUGAGGCAGAGCGCCCGGAGAAUCUCUGGAUCGCUUCCGGAAUGCCGUCGUCGUCGUCUCCGGCGGAAACUGAAAGACGUGAUUUUCCGAUCGUAGAUUCGACUAUUGUAACAGGAGAUGCGAGAGGAUUUGGAAGCGUCGGAGUGCAAGUAGUUUCCCGGUCUCAGUUGGAGAAGGGCUCGACGGUGGAAAAGCUAGGGUUGACGGAAAGAGUUUUCUCCGCCGCCGGAGCUGCGUUUUUGUCCGCCGUUAUUCUAAAUCCUCUGGACGUCGUCAAGGUUGGUUCUUUGUUUGAUACUAUUUCCUAAACAGCCGGAAAGUUAUUUGCUUUAAGGGGACUUAUGUCUCUGUUGUGAUAUGUUAUUAGACUCGAUUGCAAGCUCAAGCUGCUGGAGUUUCUUACUCCCACCCACUCAGUGACGCCAUUGGUCGCAUGGCGUUCUUUGGACCAAACAUAGUAUGUGUCUGAAUCCUCUCUUUUUUUAAAUUGUGGGACAGUUGUUUAGAGGAGAAUACUUUUGUAAUAAUGGUUUCUUUAUGGGUGGUUCAGAUGUUUACAGAUUUGAGAUGUUCUCCUUCAUGUUCACGCGCUGGUGUUCAUGGUACCGUCUCUAUUUGCCCGCCUGAUUGUUUCCAGUACAAAGGAACUUUUGAUGUCUUCACCAAGAUCAUACGACAGGUGUGUUUGCCUUGCAGUGUUAAGAAAACGAGAACCUUUUUUUUUUUUUUUUUGGCUAGAGUUAGUCCUAUUUCUCUCUCUAUUCACUAACGCAAGAACUGAUACAGGAGGGCAUGGCACGCCUGUGGAGAGGGACUAAUGCUGGUCUUGCUCUAGCUGUGCCCAUGGUAUGCUCUCCUAUUUACAUGUGGAGGGUUUGUUUAUUUUGGUAGACUACACGGAUCAGUGAACUCUCAAGUUUCGUGACAGGUUGGAAUUUAUCUCCCUUUCUACGAUUUGUUCCGCAACCGUUUGGAAGAGUUAUCUCGGGAGAAUGCGCCUGCGACGACAAUAUUUGUGCCUCUUGCGGCAGGGUCUUUGGCACGGUCCCUAGCUUGUACAGUCUGCUAUCCAGUUGAACUUGCUAGAACACGUAUGCAGGUAUGCUUUGUGUGCAUAUGUUUCUGUAACUCUGAAUGUGAUCUCUGCUCUGCAGUGGGAGUACCUUCUUUUGACUUGCUAUCAGUUUUUUCACUCUGUUUUCUAAUUAGGCAUUCAAAGAAGCUAAAGCUGGUUUAAAGCCUCCGGGUGUUGUUAAAACACUGGUUGGUGUAGUCUCUGAAGUCAGGACAGCAAAUAACCUUCAAAAUAGUUGUAAGUUGCUUCUUUCUUCUUCUCAAGGACAUCCUUACUUAUGUUUUUCAGUUUUUAACUCAUUAUAUGAUCAGUUCAACUUCAUUGACAAUCACAACACUAAGAUUCAUGCAUCUUCAGAUUGACACCAAAAGCCAUGAUCUCUUCUUUUUUUUUAUUGAGUCUUUGUUAUCCGUGUUCCCUUUGACAGUGCACAAUUAUCGUGUUCUCUGGAGAGGCUUGGGUGCACAGCUUGCCCGUGAUGUUCCAUUCUCAGCAAUCUGCUGGGCAACUCUCGAGCCAGUAACUCUUUUGACAUUGUCUUAAAACAUUUUACAAUUAGAGAGAUGAUUGCAACGCAAUUUGUGCCAGAAUACUUCAAACGAGAAACUGAAAGUUUGAGCUACUCUCUUGUUUACAGAUGAGAAGGAGGCUUCUUGGGAUUGUGGGCAACGAUACAAACGCUCUUGGUAUUCUCGGUGCAAACUUCUCCGCUGGUUUUGUAGCUGGAAGUAUCGCUGCUGCUACUACUUGUCCUUUUGACGUUGCAAAGACAAGAAGACAGAUAGAGGUUUGUCUAUUUGAUUUGCAACCUCUUCCUCCAGAGAGCUUUGUCUAUUUGCUUAUGAUACCAUAUACUUAUAUCUCGCCAUUUUCAUAAUCUCAGAAGGACCCUAGUAGGGCAAUGAGAAUGACUACACGACAGACAUUAAUAGAGGUUUGGAGGUAUGUAUGAGAAAGAUCCCAUUUUUAAUUUGCUAAUAGCUCUGUGUUUGCAUAGAAACAAGACACAUAACAAUAUAUAUACUGCACGCAGGGAUGGAGGGAUGAGAGGACUGUUCACGGGAAUGGGACCAAGGGUGGCUCGUGCAGGACCAUCGGUUGGGAUAGUGGUUUCCUUCUACGAAGUGGUCAAGUAUGUUCUGCAUCGCCAAUACGCUUCAUCAUGACCCCAACAGUCACUAGACAAUCUUACACGUGAUUGUGGAUACGGCUUUAGGUUAUAGCAACUUUUGUAACAACAUAAUAAGUUAAAACAGGCUCAGUCCUCCACCAAUGACCAACCCUUGUUUUCUCACAUUUUGAGCCGGAAUUUUGUUCAGCUAAAAUACUGGUUUAAUCCGGUUUUCUUGGUUCGAUCUUUCUUCGAAUUCGGUUUAAAUUUAAAUAGUGAGAGCAAAGCCACGAGCAUAAGCUAUAGCUCUCAUGCUAUGUAUUUCAUAAUCUAGAUUUAAUUUUUGAAGAAAUAACAGUAAACCUUUCACAACAAUCAAACUAGUUGUGUUGACCUAAGACAAAAAUACUCUCCAAGCAACAGAGUAUCAGUUGUUGUUGAAUUGUUAAAUAAAUUUUAAAAAACGCACCGUAUUGAGUAACUGCGAAAAGGGCAAUUUUGAGUGCGAUCGGAGUUCUAGGUUUCUGCGAUGGAUUCGACAUCUCUGCCGGAUUUAUCUGAUCCUCCAGAGAGAAAUUUGACGGUAACGGAAGCUCAAGAUGAGACGAGGGUGGCAGACAUAGCAGGAAAGGGUACAGAGAAGGUUAAUCAAAGCUGGGUCUCGGCGGCGAAAGAUAGAAAAUGUUUGAAGAAAUAUGAGGUUGAGGUAUCGAUGAAAGAGGGUAAGCACAUGGUGGAGAUCCCAGAUGAUGUUAUCUCUGAUUCAACACCACUGUGGGAGGAUUUUGUAGUUGGAAAAUUUUUGGAUCUGGCUCCUCAUGUAGCUAAGGUUCAUAUGGUUUUAAACAAGAUCUGGAAAUAUGGGGAUGAGUCUACAAGGGUGGAAGUAUACGAAGUGAAUGUUACUACGAUGAGAUUCAGAGUAUCAAGUUCAAAAGCGAGGGAGAAGAUUUUGAGAAGAGGGAUGUGGAAUAUUGCUGGAGUUCCAAUGGUGGUGGCAAACUGGUCCCCGAAAACGGAGGAAGAGAAACAGGAGGAAGAAGCAAUACCUAUGUGGGUUUAUGUGAGGAAAGUUCCUUUACAUAUGUUUUCAUGGGAGAGACUUAGUCUUAUAACCAGUCCCGUGGGGUUCCCAGUUCGGCUCCAUCCAGAAACGGUAGCAUGCUCUAACUUCGAUGAAGCAAAAGUGUUUUGUGAAUGUUGAUGUGUCAAAGGCGCUACCAAAGGAGAUAAGCUUCACUAAGAAUUGGGAAGGAGUUUACAGCUGAGUUUCAUUACCCUUGGUUGUCGUCGAGGUGCAAUGUUUGUGAUAAGUGGUGGCAUGUGGAGAGCGUAUGUGUGAUGAAGAGUAAAGAGAAGAAGAAAAAGGAAGUGAGUAUUGGGAAUUCUGAAGCUAAGCAGGAUGAUAUCUGUGAAGUUGAGUCAGAAAAGAAAGAGUUAGGUACUGGGAGGUCAGGGGAAAGGGUUGAGAAUAAUGAUACUGAAGAGCAUGGGAAUAUUAGGAAUGUAAUUGUUGGAGGGCAAGGUUCGAAAAGCUGGUCACUUGUAUCUCCAGCAAAAAUUAGAAGGUCAACUGCAAGUACUUCGAAAGGUUCUGAUGAGAUUCAGAUAUCAUCGUCAAAGUUCUCGGUCUUGUGUGAUGAAGCAGAGGAAGGGGAAAUUGUAGGAGAUGGACAACAUAGAGAUGAAGAAGAAACAGUUGAAGUAGAAGAAGUGGAUGAACAGGAAGAAGUCAGUGAGAAGGAUAUGUUGGAAGACAACAUUCUAGCUCAACAAGGCAAGGUGAAAGAGAAGGCUAUUGAGAAAAAAGGGUUGAAGAGAGGUCGUAAGGCUAAAGCUCAGGAUUUAAAUCUGGUGAGCACAAGGUCUUCUCGACGUAAUCAUUAACAUGAAAAGCUUCUUUUGGAAUGCGCGCGGCUUCAACAAAUCUUUAAAGCAUUCCGUUAUAAAAGAGUGGAUCAGAAGUAAUGAAAUGGAGUUUGAAUGUAUUUUGGAAACAAGAGUAAAAGAAAGGAAGGCAGUUAGUAUUCUACAGUCGGUUUUCAGUGAUUGGUCCUCAAUGACAAACUAUGAGCAUAGUCUGGGGGGAGAAUUUGACUAGUAUGGAAGGAUUCAAUGUGUAUGACUCCGGUCUACAAAUCUGAUCAAAUGAUAACUUGCUCGAUAGGUUUUCAGGAAGAGGAGGUUUUCUUUUGUACAUUUGUAUAUGCGAGUAACUCGGUGGAAGGUAGAAAGGAGUUGUGGGAGGAUCUCAUUCAUCAUAAAAAUUCUAAGUUAUUCAAAAAUAAGGAGUGGCUGAUCAUGGGUAACUUCAAUGAAAUAUUGGAUGGUGAAGAGAAUUCAGCAUUUUCGGAGUUAGGAAGACUUCCAAGUGGUAUGAGAGAUUUCCAGAGGAUGGUUCUUCAAUGUAAUCUGGUGGAUAUGGGCUACCAAGGUCCUUUGUUUACUUGGUGUAACAAGAGAGAAAAUGGAGUGAUAUGCAAGAAAUUGGAUAGAGUGUUAAUGAAUGAUGCAGCUCAGAUGAGAUUCUCUUAACGCGUUUGCAGUAUUUGAGCCAGGAGGCUGUUCUGAUCACUUGCGAUGCAAGGUUCAAUUGCUGCCGCCAAAUGAGAGAGUUCACAGGCCGUUCAAGUAUGUUAAUUCUCUAGGGAAACUCCCACAGUUUCUCUCUAUGGUGAAGGAGUUCUGGGAUUCAACGGAGGUGUUAUAUCAUUCAACGUCGGCAAUGUACAAAUUAUCUAAAAAACUGAAGAAUCUUAAGCCUCUCAUAAGAAAAAUGGGGAAGGAUCAUCUUGGUAAUCUAUCAAAAAGAGCAAAAGAGGCACAUGAUACACUAUGUGAAAAGCAAAAGCAUACUUUGACCAAUCCGAGCAGCAAUUCUAUUCAGGGGGAAGCACAAGCGUAUGAGAAAUGGUUACAUGUUGCAGAACUGGAAGAAGACUAUCUCAAGCAGAAAUCUAAGCUUUAUUGGUUGGAGGUUGGUGAUCAAAAUAAUAGAAACUUUCAUAGUUCGAUCAAAUCUAGACAAGCUCAAAAUGCAAUUCAUGAGAUCAGAUGCUCGGAUGGUAUAAUAAUGAAAAGUCAUAUGGAGAUUAAGAAGGAAGCUGAGAGAUUCUUCACUGAAUUUCUGAACCAAAGCCAUGUCAGUUACCAAGGGACUACUGUGGAGGAACUAAGGGAGCUUUUUGAGUUCAGAUGUGAUCCGGUGGACUGCAACAUGCUUGAGAAAGAUGUUACAGAGGAAGAAAUACGUAAGGUUCUCUUUGCUAUGCCCGCCUAUAAAUCUCCAGGACCUGAUGGAUAUCCUUGUGAGUUUUUAAAUACCGCAUGGCAUAUAGUAGGGCGAGAUUUUGUAGUUGUUAUUCAGUCAGUAUUCCGAUAUGGCUUCCUUCCUAAAGGAGUAAAUUCUACAAUUCUUGCUCUUGUCCCGAAGAAAACCGACUCGAUGGAGAUGAAGGACUUCAGACCCAUAGCUUGCUGUAACGUGCUAUAUAAAGUGGUUUCUAAGAUUCUUGCCAAUAGAUUGAAAGAGAUUCUUCUGCGGAUCAUUACUCAAAACCAGUCAGCAUUUGUCAAAGGGAGGUUGCUAAUAGAGAAUGUUUUGCUGGCUUCGGAGUUAGUAAAGGACUAUCACAAGGAGGAUGUGUCUCCAAGAUGUCUGAUGAAGAUUGACAUCUCGAAGGCUUUUGAUUCUGUGCAGUGGGAGUUUGUUUUGAAGAGUUUAGAGGCAUUGGGGUUCCCAGGGAGGUUUAUUCACUGGGUAAGGCUAUGCAUCACAACUCCAUCAUUCUCGGUACAAGUAAAUGGAGAUUUGGCUGGAUAUUUCCAAAACUCUAGAGGCCUGCGACAGGGAUGCUCGAUCUCUCCUUAUUUGUUCGUUCUAUGUAUGAAUGUUUUAUCGCAUAAGUUGGAUAAAGCAGUUCGGGAGAAGAAGUUUCAAUUUCACCCGAGGUGUAAAGCUCUGGCCUAACCCAUCUUUGUUUUGUAGACGACUUAAUGGUAUUUGUUGAAGGAUCAACGGAGUCUAUUGGAGGUGCUUUAUCAGUAUUUGAUGAGUUUGCUAUAUGGUCUGGAUUGAGUAUUAGUUUGGAGAAGUCAACAGUGUACUUGGCUGGAGUUUCAGAUAAUGAGAAGGGAAGAAUCAGAUUAAAGUUUCUGUUGGCAGAAGGUAAGCUUCCGGUUAAAUACUUGGGGCUUCCACGUAUGUCUCAGGAAAUGAAGAAGCACGAUUACUUGCCUCUAGUUGAGAGAAUUCGAAGUAAGAUAUGCACGUGGAAUAGAAGAUUUUUAUCUUAUGCUGGGAGGCUACAACUGAUCAAAGUAGUCUUGAUGAGUAUUGUUAAUUUCUGGGCAGCAGUGUUUAGACUUCCAAGCAAGUGUAUGGAAGAGAUUGAGCAACUCAGUUCAGCAUUUCUUUGGACGGGUCCAGUGUUAAAAUCAACAGGAGCUAAGGUAGCUUGGCAGGACAUAUGUAAAGAAAAAAAUGAAGGCGGUCUAGGGAUAAGGCCGCUAAAGGAGGUUAACAUGGUGUAUGGUUUGAAACUCAUAUGGAGGAUGCUAUCUGGUGACUCUCUUUGGGGUAAAUGGGUUAAGAUGUAUCUUCUCAAGAAGAAAACAUUUUGGGAAAUAAAAAUAAAUACUCAAGUGGGCUCAUGGAUGUGGCGGAAGAUGCUGAAACUAAGAGAAGUGGCUAAGAGUUUCUAUAUGAAAGCAGUUGUGAAUGGUCGUCACACGUCUUUCUGGUAUGACAGAUGGUCUGACAGGGGAGUGAUCAUGGAUCUGCUGGGAGACAGAGGGAUAGUUGAUAUGGGUAUUAGAAGAGAUGCUACAGUGGAAGAGGCAGUGCAGAGAAAUAAGAGAAGAGGCAGGUAUCGUUCUCCUAUUUUAAAUGAGAUUGAAGCUGAGCUUAAUACACUCAAAGAACAAAUAUGCAAUAGUGUGGAGGAUACUAGUCUGUGGAAGCGGGAGUCAGGUUUUAAAUCAAAUUUCUCAACUUAUGAAACAUGGAGGUUGGUGAGAGAGACAAAGACUCAAUGUGAUUGGGCUAAAGGUAUUUGGUUUUCUCAGGCUACUCCCAAGUUCUCGUUUAUGACAUGGCUUGCAAUGUUGAAUAGAAUGUCAACGAUGGACAGAGUCUCAAGAUGGAACCAAGAGGUAGAUACUGUCUGUGUGCUAUGCAAGAAUGCUCCUGAGUCGAGAGAUCAUCUCUACUUUGAGUGUUCUUUUUCAAGUCAAGUAUGGGAACAUCUGGUGAAGGGGAUUUUGCGUAACGACUACACUACGGACUGGCAUGCAGUCGUGAGGUUGAUCAAUGACCAGUCCGUAGAGAAGAAAAAGCUAUUCUGCAUCAGAUACGCUUUCCAGACAUCUGUAUAUUCACUAUGGAGGGAGAGGAACAAAAUAAAGCUUGAUGACAAACCGAUGCCACUGCCUGCCCUUAAAAAGAUUUUAGACAAAGGAGUAAGAAACAAGCUAAGUCUAGUGAGAGCGAAAGGGAGGAGAGGAAUGGAGGAGGUCUUGCAGUUUUGGUUUAGUACUAGACUGUAAUUUUUUCAAUUUUGAGUAUAGGAGGAGUUUGUUUAUGUAAAGGUGCAGAUGAUGUAAAAAAGUUUUUUUGAUGAAUAUAAUUUAGCAUUCAUUAAAAAAAAAAGAGUAUCAGUUGUUAGCCCCUGCUCAAAGAAAAUUGUGUAAGUUCAACUUAAGUCAACAUAAACUUCUACAGAUACAUAGAUUUGUUCUGUUAUUAAAUCCCGAGCAUUUAAUCCGGUUUGAUGAGAUUAGGUAAAGGCCAAAGCCACCAACACGCAUUGACUCGCACAUAAUUUCCUCAUCUAGUUUUUAGUUUUGGAAAUGAAAAUAUAACACUUAAAACAAACAUGGGAGGCACAGCACAAGAAGGAGGUUAAAAUUUGGAAGAUGGAGGCAAGAAAUGUGUGUUGUUUCUCAUGAUCCAAUAUCUCUCUAUCUCCACAGCUUUUCUUCCCGGUACUCUUCCUGCUAUUAUUUCCCACCUGGUAUUUUGCAAGAAAACAUUUUUUCUCUCUAAGAAUGGAAAUACAUAAGUAAAUAAUAAAAUGUUUGAUACAAGUGAUUAGCUUGGAUCCCAUUCUGCUUAUUAAGCUAAGAAGUCCCUAAGCGUAGCAAAAAGUUAAAAAAAAAAAACACCUAGACACUAAAACUUAGGUCUAGUAGUUCCUAAUUAAUGAAACUACGUACAAACUAUAACUAAUUAGAACAAGAACAUGAAGCAGCAAUUGAAAGAUCAAGUAGGCCUAAGAGAGAGCAAGGACACUUAGACCAGAAGGCGAUGGUGAUUCAAAAGGUCACUCUGAAACGACAAGAACGAUUUUCUUCAUCAUCAGGAGAUGGUUAUUAUUAUUUUUUUUUUGUUCAACAGAUCAUCAGGCGAUGGUAAGCGUAAGAAUAUAAGUACAUUCCUAUGUCACAUGUUUUGUGGUAAAGUCGUUACAUCUAAUUUUGGGAGAGAAAGAAAUUAAAAGAAGAUACGUACCUA
rnacentral:lncRNA from 1 species